UCUGAUAUGAGCAAAUCAAAUCACGCACUACGUCAAACACUUUGUUAGACAAUAAAGUGGGAGCUGGGAGAUCCACUCCAAUCUUUGCACAUGCUCAGUUUUAUUUGUCAAGACAGGCCUUUUUAGUUCCGUAAAGCCUAACUGAAUGACCUUUCAAAUAGAGCUCCCACAAGCUUCAAACUCCUUUCAAAUAAAGUAUUGUGACGAUGUUUCUCUACAGAACAGACACAGGAAGAGAGUUGUGUAAUUAUAACUUCCUGUCCUCUGCUGUUACCAGUCUGGGGGUAUUUAACUUCCUGUCUUCUGCUGUGACCAGUCUAGGGGGUAUUUAACUUCCUGUCCUCUGCUGUGACCAGUCUAGGGGGUAUUUAACUUCCUGUCCUCUGCUGUGACCAGUCUAGGGGGUAUUUAACUUCCUGUCCUCUGCUGUGACCAGUCUAGGGGGUGUUUUAUUAUCUAAUUAUAUAUAUAUCCUUUUAUUUCAGCUUAUGAAACACAGGACCAACACUUUUAGAUGUUGCGUUUUAUAUUGUUGUUCAGUGGAGAAAGGUAAAAUAAUGAAAAGGUACCAUUUGGCACGUAGCCUAUUUUACAGAGGUGUUUUCUUUCAAGGGGUAGAUUUGACACAAUCUGGUUUUACAGUGUAACAAAACCCUAAACCUUUCAGGGUUGCAGUGGAUCAUUUAUGACAGCAGUACCAGGAUACACAGGGAUCAUUUAUGACAGCAGUAACCAGGAUACACAGGGAUCAUUUAUGACAGCAGUAACCAGGAUACACAGGGAUCAUUUAUGACAGCAGUAACCAGGAUACACAGGGAUCAUUUAUGACAGCAUAACCAGGAUACACAGGGAUCAUUUAUGACAGCAGUAACCAGGAUACACAGGGAUCAUUUAUGACAGCAGUAACCAGGAUACACAGGGAUCAUUUAUGACAGCAGUAACCAGGAUACACAGGGAUCAUUUAUGACAGCAGUAACCAGG